GCCUGUUCCUGGGGGAGUCCUUAACGGGCUGAGACUCCGCAUUCAAGCGGUAACCCUUAGAACCUGAUCCGGAUCAUGCCGGCGAAGGGAAAGGAAACGCGGCCUGGC
rfam:Alcaligenes sp. EGD-AK7 Contig1, whole genome shotgun sequence.